rnacentral:rRNA from 1 species
AGGACGCUUCCUUCGGGAAGCGAGCGUACACAGGUGCUGCAUGGCUGUCGUCAGCUCGUGUCGUGAGAUGUUGGGUUAAGUCCCGCAACGAGCGCAACCCUUGCCUUUAGUUGCCAGCAGUUCGGCUGGGCACUCUAAAGGGACUGCCGGUGUUAAACCGGAGGAAGGUGGGGAUGACGUCAAGUCCUCAUGGCCUUUAUGACCAGGGCUACACACGUACUACAAUGGCCGAUACAAAGGGCAGCGACACUGCGAGGUGAAGCCAAUCCCGUAAAAUCGGUCUCAGUCCGGAUUGGAGUCUGCAACUCGACUCCAUGAAGUUGGAAUCGCUAGUAAUCGUGGAUCAGCAUGCCACGGUGAAUACGUUCCCGGGCCUU